rnacentral:rRNA from 1 species
UUAAUGGCUGUCGUCACCCCGGGCUUGAAAGAUUGGGUUAAACCCCCAAAAGAGCCAACCCCUUCCCUUUAGGCCACCCAUAAGUUGGGCACUCUAAGGAGACUGCCGGUGACAAACCGGAGGAAGGUGGGGAUGACGUCAAGUCAUCAUGGCCCUUACGGCUAGGGCUACACACGUCAUACAAUGGUCGGUACAAAGGGUUGCCAACCCGCGAGGGGAAGCCAAUCCCAAAAACCCGAUCGUAGUCCGGAUUGGAGUCUGCAACUCGACUCCGGAAGUCGGAAUCGCUAGAAUCGCGAUCAG